GAAGGUAAUAAUCCUGUAGUCGAAAAUGUUGUCUCUCUUGAGUGGAUCCUGAGUACGACGGAGCACGUGAAAUUCCGUCGGAAUCUGGGAGGACCAUCUCCUAAGGCUAAAUACUCUCUAGUGACCGAUAGUGAACCAGUACCGUGAGGGAAAGGUGAAAAGCACCCCGGAAGGGGAGUGAAAUAGAACCUGAAACCGUGUGCUUACAAGUAGUCAGAGCCCGUUAAUGGGUGAUGGCGUGCCUUUUGUAGAAUGAACCGGCGAGUUACGAUUUGAUGCAAGGUUAAGCAGUAAAUGUGGAGCCGUAGCGAAAGCGAGUCUGAAUAGGGCGUUUAGUAUUUGGUCGUAGACCCGAAACCAGGUGAUCUACCCUUGGUCAGGUUGAAGUUCAGGUAACACUGAAUGGAGGACCGAACCGACUUACGUUGAAAAGUGAGCGGAUGAACUGAGGGUAGCGGAGAAAUUCCAAUCGAACCUGGAGAU
rnacentral:rRNA from 1 species